rnacentral:rRNA from 2 species
UGCUGUGAACUCGAAGAGUAGGGCGGGACACGUGGUAUCCUGUCUGAAUAUGGGGGGACCAUCCUCCAAGGCUAAAUACUCCUGACUGACCGAUAGUGAACCAGUACCGUGAGGGAAAGGCGAAAAGAACCCCGGCGAGGGGAGUGAAAAAGAACCUGAAACCGUGUACGUACAAGCAGUGGGAGCCUCUUUAUGGGGUGACUGCGUACCUUUUGUAUAAUGGGUCAGCGACUUAUAUUCUGUAGCAAGGUUAACCGUAUAGGGGAGCCGAAGGGAAACCGAGUCUUAACUGGGCGUUAAGUUGCAGGGUAUAGACCCGAAACCCGGUGAUCUAGCCAUGGGCAGGUUGAAGGUUGGGUAACACUAACUGGAGGACCGAACCGACUAAUGUUGAAAAAUUAGCGGAUGACCUGUGGCUGGGGGUGAAAGGCCAAUCAAACCGGGAGAUAGCUGGUUCUCCCCGAAAGCUAUUUAGGUAGCGCCUCGUGAACUCAUCUUCGGGGGUAGAGCACUGUUUCGGCUAGGGGGCCAUCCCGGCUUACCAACCCGAUGCAAACUACGAAUACCGAAGAAUGUUAUCACGGGAGACACACGGCGGGUGCUAACGUCCGUCGUGAAGAGGGAAACAACCCAGACCGCCAGCUAAGGUCCCAAAGUCAUGGUUAAGUGGGAAACGAUGUGGGAAGGCACAGACAGCCAGGAUGUUGGCUUAGAAGCAGCCAUCAUUUAAAGAAAGCGUAAUAGCUCACUGGUCGAGUCGGCCUGCGCGGAAGAUGUAACGGGGCUAAACCAUGCACCGAAGCUGCGGCAGCGACACUAUGUGUUGUUGGGUAGGGGAGCGUUCUGUAAGCCGUUGAAGGUGUGCUGUGAGGCAUGCUGGAGGUAUCAGAAGUGCGAAUGCUGACAUAAGUAACGAUAAAGCGGGUGAAAAGCCCGCUCGCCGGAAGACCAAGGGUUCCUGUCCAACGUUAAUCGGGGCAGGGUGAGUCGACCCCUAAGGCGAGGCCGAAAGGCGUAGUCGAUGGGAAACAGGUUAAUAUUCCUGUACUUGGUGUUACUGCGAAGGGGGGACGGAGAAGGCUAUGUCAGCCGGGCGACGGUUGUCCCGGUUUAAGCAUGUAGGCGGAGGUUCCAGGUAAAUCCGGUACCUUGUUAACGCUGAGGUGUGAUGACGAGGCACUACGGUGCUGAAGUGAUAAAUGCCCUGCUUCCAGGAAAAGCCUCUAAGCAUCAGGUAACACGAAAUCGUACCCCAAACCGACACAGGUGGUCAGGUAGAGAAUACCAAGGCGCUUGAGAGAACUCGGGUGAAGGAACUAGGCAAAAUGGUGCCGUAACUUCGGGAGAAGGCACGCUGAUGUGUAGGUGAAGCCCCUGCGGGUGGAGCUGAAAUCAGUCGAAGAUACCAGCUGGCUGCAACUGUUUAUUAAAAACACAGCACUGUGCAAACACGAAAGUGGACGUAUACGGUGUGACGCCUGCCCGGUGCCGGAAGGUUAAUUGAUGGGGUUAGCGGCAACGCGAAGCUCUUGAUCGAAGCCCCGGUAAACGGCGGCCGUAACUAUAACGGUCCUAAGGUAGCGAAAUUCCUUGUCGGGUAAGUUCCGACCUGCACGAAUGGCGUAAUGAUGGCCAGGCUGUCUCCACCCGAGACUCAGUGAAAUUGAACUCGCUGUGAAGAUGCAGUGUACCCGCGGCAAGACGGAAAGACCCCGUGAACCUUUACUAUAGCUUGACACUGAACACUGGUCCUUGAUGUGUAGGAUAGGUGGGAGGCUUUGAAGCGUGGACGCCAGUCUGCGUGGAGCC